rnacentral:lncRNA from 1 species
GCCUAUCCAGGAAGCUUCUCCUCCUCUUCCAGGCAACUUUUCAUUAUUGCUUAAAAAUUCCCCUCCCCACUGCCCCACCUGGUGCUGACUCAGCUCCUGUCAGUAUCUGAAUGCCAGGAACCAGCCUGAGGGCGGACACUGCCACCUUCUCCUGUGUCCUAGGACACCCAGAGUUCCCAGAGACUGACAAUGAUGCCAUCCACCACUCCAGGACCCCAGCCCCUGCCAAUCUCAGCGAGCAUGGCCCCAAGUCCUGACUGGCAUCACACGUGAGCUUGGCAGGUUCCAGAAAGCUCUCUUCAUGGCAAGAAAAGCUAGGGUGGGGUACCCUGUGGGAGCUGUUGGUAGGGGCUCCUAUCAGAAGGCCCCAGGGCCUGCCAUCUCAGAGGACAAGGAGGACACACGUGGUCUCAAUGCUAUGCACAGAAUGAGGCCAUGGAGGUUAGCUUGCUUCUGCCCACUUCUGCCCUUGCCAGCGAGUCAAAGGAGAUCAGGACUGGAAUGAGGAAAUGGCUCCAUCUGUCCUCUCCCCUGCAAAGAGCUGGAAAGCUUGCUCUACUGGAUCCAGUCAUUUAUUCAGGCCUUGUUCCUGUCUUCUGGUUGCCAGUUCUGCACUCACUCAUUCUUGAAACCAGACAUGCCAAGUUCCAGGAGGGACAUCGGACAGAAACUGCCCCUGUUCUUCUGCCCCUUGACACACCCACCUUUGGGGUGUGAAAACCCACCAGUUCCAGCCACCAUCUCAUUUCAGCCUCCCAAGGCCUUUGCUCUACUUGAAAAAGCCUCAGCAGAGAAGAAAGCCAUCCCGGGAGGAUGAAGGCAGCAGAUUCUGCUCUGUUCACUGACAGCACUGAUGCCCAGCACCUACCAAACACACAGAGUCUUACACAUGUUAUGGGACUUAUCUCUAUUAAUUCACUGAGUUAUCCUGGUAACCUGAUGAGAUUAGGUCACUUAUCCCAUUUCACAGACGGGAAACUGAAGCACAGAGAGGUCUUGUAACUGACUCAAAGUCACCAAGUUAGUAAGGAGAGCAGACAGGAUUAAAACCUGGGAGUUUGGCUUCUAAGAUCAGUUCCUUGAAUGUUACACUCUACUGCCUUUCUAGCUUUGAAGUGGCAUGAGGAGUUGGCUUUUUAAAAAGCAUAUGGGCCAGGUUCAGUGGUUAACGCCUAUAAUCCCAGCACUUUUGGAGGCCAAGCCAGGCAGAUCACCUGAGGUCAGGAGUUUGAAACCAACCUGGCCAACAUGGUGAAACUCCGUCUCUACUAAAAAUACAAAAAUUAGCCAGGCAUGGUGGCGGGCGCCUGUAAUCCCAGCUACUUGGGAGGCUGAGGCAGGAAAAUCACUUGAAUCUGGGAGGUGGCAGUUGCAGUGAGCUGAGAUCGUGCUAGUGCACUCCAGCCUGGGCAACAGAGCAAGAAAACUCCAUCUCAAAAAAAAAAAAAAAGUGUAUAUAUAAAUGCUCAACAUCACUCAUCACUAGGGAAAUGCAAACCAAAACCACAAUGAAAUACCACUUCAUACCCAUUAGGUUGGCUACUAUUAAAAAAAUAAAAAUAAAACAAUAAUAAGUGUUGAUGAUGACGUGGAGAAAUUGGAACCCUUCUGCACUGCUAGUGGGAAUGUAAAAUAGUGGAAAACAGAUGGCAGUUUCUCGAAAAAUUAGAAAUAGAAUUACCAGGCCAGGCACAGUGGCUCAUGCCAGUAAUCCCAACACUAUGGGAGGCCAAGGUGGGCGGACUGCUUUGAACUCAGGAGUUCAAGACCAGCCUGAGCAAUGUGGCAAAACCUUGUCUCUACUAAAAGUACAAAAAUGAGCUGGGUGCAGUGGCUCACGCCUGUGGUCCCAACUACUCAGGAGGCUGAGGCUGGAGGAUCACUUGAGCCAGGAAGUAGCGGCUGCAGUAAGCUAAGAUCGUACCACUGCACUCCAGCCUGAGAAAGAGACCUUGUCUCAAAAAAAUAGAUAAAUUACCAUGUGAUCUAGCAAUUCUCCUUCUGGGUAUGUACCUAACAGAAUGGAAAGCAGGGGCAACAAACACAUAUUUAUUUAUUUAUUUAUUUUUGAGAUGAAGUCUAUGUUGCCCAGGCUGGAGUGCAGUGUUGCAAUCUCGGCUUACUGCAACCUCUGCCUCCUGGGUUCAAGUGAUUCUCCUGCCUCGGCCUCCCGAGGAGCUGGGAUUACAGGCACCC